rnacentral:sRNA from 1 species
UAUUCUAUCCAUGAGUUCAAAACCGAUGCAAACAUGAUAAUUAUAAGUCAGAUUCAAGUUCAAAUUGACAGGGAAAGGUGUCAUGACAUGCAAUGAGUGGUUUCUAUAGAACAUGGUGCGGUUUUACUUCAAAGUCAUUCAAAUGCAUCAGAGAACUAAUAACUCAUUUAGUGAAUCAUCAUGCUUACAAGGUUAUCUCCGCAUUGUCCCCUAUGCAUAUGCAACAAUCCUAAAUGAAAACUCUAGACUCGAUCCUAAAUGUAAUGCAACUACAUGAACACUCUGUUUUUGUGAAAUCAUUUUCUGAA